CGCCUGCCGCGCCCCGCGCCCGUCCCGCCGCCCCCGCCCGCCCUACGGGGCGCAGCAGGCGCGAAAACUUUACAAUGCGGGAAAUCGUGAUAAGGGAACCCCGAGUGCCAGCAAAUUCGGGCUGUCCACCAGUGUAAAAAACUGGUGAAGAAAGGGCCGGGCAAGACCGGUGCCAGCCGCCGCGGUAAUACCGGCGGCUCGAGUGGUGGCCACUAUUACUGGGCUUAAAGGGUCCGUAGCUGGAUUGGCAGUCCCUG
rnacentral:rRNA from 1 species